GGCCAUAACAACACACUGACAUCUCUAAGACACACGCCAGAUAUGGCAGUGGAAAAUGGACAGGAAUGUAAACAAAAGGACGCCAACACAAAAAAAAAAAGGAAACGGAACCCCCCCACACUGAGCCAUACCACGAUCCACCCACACCAGGGACCAGGGAAACGCGCCCAACGAGGGAAAACGCCCACAUUAUGCCAGACGAGUCAAAGCCACGGGAUGAUGCAGGCCUCUUCGCGGGACUCAGAUACACAAAUUAUAUAAAAGGGGAGAGAAGGAUUUAGGAACACGACUCAUCCGUGACGCAAUUGCACUCCCGUUCUGUGCGGCUCUGGUGCCACGACGACAACACCGAUUCCUGUUUCUUCCUUAAAAACCCUAGCAGCUGCGAUCCCCCAAACGGAAACCACUCCGACGGGUCAACUCGGCCGCUUCCUUUGCAGCUCGGUUUGCCGUCUUCUGGCCCACCGGCGCUACUCCUCCGUCCAUACUUGGAACGUCGAGGUCGCCAGUAUCCCGAAUUCUGUCUGGACCACUCGCGCUAGAAAGGCGAAGAACAUAAAACAUUCACGACGUACACUUUCUUCUCUUCUUUUUAGAUGGCUAAACUGUUCAGGAUACCCGGAUUGUUGCUUCGUUACUGGAUGUUAAUCGAGCACGGUCACCAAUCCUCGUUCCGAUGGCGCUAUUCUUUAGCCAUACGAGACGCAAGAAGCCGCCACGGACCAUCCUUCACAGACCCAGUCACGCCAAUUCCCAUUCUGCUCUCGAGAUGCUGGAUUAGAAUCGGACCAAGGGAUAUUCAGUAUUUAAAUUGGGCGCCAUUAUUGUUAUCGACCUGCUAGAUGAAAAAAACAAUAUCCUCAGCCUGGUCCCGCGUAUAUCGAUAGGGGCUCACUCCGGCUAGCUAUCGGAAAAGAAGGUCGUGAGUUACGAUAACCCAUCCCCAAUACGCGCAACAAUAAACAUCAGGAAUGAUGUCGUCGCCGCCGCUUCAUGUGAACCGGACCUCCUCUUCCGGAUUAUCGAGGUCGAACGGGCCCUCCCUUUCCUUCGUGGCAUGUCGAUGAGGUAUCCACUGUCAAAACCACACCAAGGGUCGUGGACAACAUGGAUCUUAGGAAUAAUGAAAUUUACAAAAAAAGGAAUGUGCACGUGGGCAACAAACAGGAGAAAAAUAAAUAUUUAACGCUAAACAAAAAUAAUAA